UGGAAUAUUCCUUUCCAUAUUCGCCUGCUCUUCAAAUGGGAUAACGAUUUGGAUAUUGGGAGAAAUGGAAUUCCCACUAGACCUCCUUAAAAUAUGCGAUGGAGAUAAGGAAGGAAAUCCAUUCCUCAUAUGGGAAGUAAUCCUGGCCGUGGACACGUCAUUCACCAGAAUCCUCUCCUCCUGUUGGCCAGCAGGCCAAGCACUACCAUCGUCCUUAGCAAAGACUGCCCCUGGGAUGGAGGCUUCACGCUGCCUCUCCUCCCUUCCUUCUGCUUCCUUCCUUGCUCUGCAUACAUGGACAGAAUGCCCCACCUUUUUGCAGACCCGCACCUGGACAAUCCAUCCUCAUAAACAAUAGUCUGUUUGAACCAGAAUAUCUCCCCCGUUCCAAGUUGCCUCCUCUCUACUUGAAUUUCUUCUAUUCUGCUUGCACCAAGUUCCAUUUCUACUUGGACUCUUGUAAAGGUUCCCAUAGUAGCAGUGCGAGUGCACCUAUCCAACGCCACAGGUCUCCCUGUCGCCUUGGCCAUGGUCAACAAAAAUUUUUCAUGCCAAUAUUUCAGAGGCAAGUCUGGGAAUCUGAUCCAAACCAGCUUGGUCGUGGCAUUCUUAGCAUGAACAUCAAAAUCAGGCUUCCAUCAUUGGAACCUGAUUACUUGACCUCGAACUCUUGUAAGGCUUCAUCUGCACAUUGCAGUCAUGUCUCCCUCCCUUUCAAAUUGGAAAAAGAAUAUACCCAUUCCCCAUGGGCGCUAUCUUAACAUCGCCUUUAAGAUUCUAGGAUUUGCUAGCCGAUAGGUACCUGAAAUUUACCCUACCUAUCAAGGCAAAUCUGAACAGCAAGUCUUUCCUCAUAAGCGUCUUAAGGAACUACAAUUUUGGUGUAAGCUCUAGCAUGAAUUGGAUCAGGUAGGUUUUCCAUGUCCAGCAAAACCUUCCCCACCACAACAGAAUAUGAUCACCUCCCCUUCUCUCUAUUUGUGUAUUCCGGUUGCCCUGCCUCCUCCCUGCCUUGAUUACCAUCGACCUCCUCCACAGGUUCAUAAGAUGCAAUACCAGGGAUCGAAACCCCUCCUUCCUCCCUAAUGUUGUAGGUCUCAAAUAAUCCGUAAUCAAGGGUUGUCUUCCAAUAUCGGGAGGCCAACCAUCCUUCAGUUCUUGCCCGGUUCCAGGAUUCUCAAUCGCUUCACCAACCAUCAGUGUGGUACCCUACUUUAUAAACCAGCCUAAUUACCCGAUUGGUUCGAUUUGCUCUUGCAGGACAAGAAUCCGAGCGAGCUGAGUCGAGUACCUUAUGGAAUAUGAUGGCAAGGGUGACUCUAAAAUCGAGUUGGCUAGACGAGUUGGAGUCGGUGCCUAGUGAAGUUCGUGUGCCCAAGCCAUGCACAUGCACGUAUCACUGGGCUAUGUAAGCGCAAUAAAGGUGGGUGAGAAAAGUAAAGAAGAGAGAGAAACGAAGGAGAGAGAAGGGAAGAAGAAGGAAGAAAUGGAGAAGAAGAUGAUCGUUGUGCUUUGGCGGGGUCAGAUCUUUUGAAUCCGACAUCAAAAGCAUGAUCUUCGUCUUGGGAUCUACAAUUUGAGGUGAGUAAAAGCUAUAUUUCUCAAACCCCAAGAAACCCUAAGUGAAAUCCUAUGAUUUGAGUAGGAAUCUUUUGGAUCUUGUCAAUCCCGCUUGAGAUGAUGAAUCUAAGGUCUAAUAAAGGACCUAGAUGUUGUUUAUGAAGGUUUUAGAGGAAGAAAUUGCAAGAUUUGAGAAUCAUUUGUUGAUCUUUUGAGCUAGAUAGGAGAUUUAAGGGUUUUGAAGUGUUCUUGAGCAAAGAGGUAAAACUCAAGCUUAGAACUUUGAAUUGAUCCUAGAUCUAUAUUGGAAUCAUGAUAUGGGACCUUAGAUUUAUGAAAAAUGUGGUCGAAUCGACCCGUGGUGGUUUCCCCAAGGUGGGGUGAAGAAUGAGAGUGAACAAUAAAAUCUUGGUUUUGAGUGGAAGGUGCCUGAAAAUGGUCGAACCCACCAAUCCGGAGCCCGCCUGUCCUAGAUGGGAUGCUGCCUCAAUCGGCAAGCAAGACUAGUGGACACUUGGCCCAUUGGUCUAGGCAGUGCCCCCUGGGUAGAGCGGCGACCAAGGACCCAUGGGCACCUAGCUUGUCGGUCCUUACAGGGCCACUAAGUCCAGCGGCGGGCAAGGAUCGGUGGGUAUCUCGCUCACCAGUUGACCUACCACUCCGACACAUCGGGUUUCGUUGGGCCCAAAUUUGUCGGGCAACCUUCUAUAAUGAUUCGAAACGCGUUUGGAUCAUCAUACUCCGUUGGUUUUAAACCUAAAGUGAGAUAUACUAAACUCAACAUUUUUAUGAUAUGUUUAUUAGAAACUCACGUCAUCAUAUGUCGAAUCUUUCUCUCACCAAGGGUGAUCAUUGUACACAAUUAUGCAAGUAGGAAGAGUACAUUGACUUUAUUUUUGGAGUGUUUUUGUAUCAUUCCAUUAUUGUUGUAAACUAGCCAUGUCAUCAAUUCAUUAUUGUGCGUAGCAUAGUCAUCACAAAUGCCAUUUGCAUGCAUUGAUGUGUGCAUUAUGAAAUUCAUUUAUGACUUGAUAUGCUGAUAUCUUUAGUUGUUAAAUGUUUAUUCUUGCUUUGAAAUAUGAGAUGGAUGAAUUUUAAUUAUUGAAUAUGAUUCAUUACUAGACUAUAUGCAGUCAGCUUGAAAACGAAUGCAUUGGUGGCCCGUGGAAUGAGACGCGGUGACACAAUACAGUCGUACUAUCUCAUAUAGGAGCAUGCGGUUAGGAAUGACAUAUCCUUGUGCUAUGACCCUUCCCAGCAGGGGUUUAGGUAUUGGGUAUAUCACUGGGGGGAAGCCCGAGGUUGUGUGCCAACGGUGGCAGUUAGAAGUACACUAGGACGGUCGGUAAUUUUGGUGAUAUAACAAGAGGGUCAAUUGUACUGCUUUUAAUUUAAUGUAGGGCAAGGCCUAUAUUACUUUAAUAUAGGACAAGGCCAUUUUAUUUUCUGGUACCCACAGCUGGCCUUCUCC